AUGAUUCAUAGUUUUGUACGUUUUUACUAUAUUACAAUUUUAAAUGGCCAAAAAGAUUUUGCAAACUUGUCAACUGAGUAGGAUAAUAUUCUACUAACAAUUUGUUAAGUGUAUCGAAGGUUGGUAGAAGUCAAAAAAGAUGUUGUCUACAGUUUCUGGUUGUUUCUCAGUCGACCUAAGGUCCGACCUCAGUUAGUCGCCUUAUAGAGUUCACUGCAUUCGAAUUGGUUAACUGUCAAAAUUCAAAGCCAAUCCAAAGUGCGUGCGAUCAGUUGCCCAUACCACUUCCAGAGCCACAAAAAUAAAACAAAAACAUAUCAAACCAGAGCCCAAAAGAUGCCAAAUUCCACCAAAUGAUCAAAAGAGGAGGAGGAGGUAAUAGGCAAAGUGAGUUAUGAUGGGUUUCAAGUUUUAGGGCCGAAAAAUAGGUGAAAACUGCAGUUUUGAUCUACGCAGCUGCAAUUGCUAUUUUCAAGUUUCACAGAAGCUCAAGAUGAGUGAGUAGAGCUACUCAAUAGCGAGAGUAGUAUAGGGGGUGGGAGGAGAAGAUGGCUGGGGGGAUGAGGAGAAAAAAAAAGAAAGAGAGGGAAUGAAAGAAGGGUAGGUAUAGCUAGGGAGAGAGAGAGAGAGAGAGAGAGAGAGAGAAUGACAAGGGUACCUAUAUCGCAUACAUUCCUCAGACGAGACGGGAAAAGGGUGGGGUGAGGUAAGGAGUGGGAUGGGGUAGGCAGAAGCUGCCGGUUCAGCUAGUUCAGUCGACUAGCCCUCAACUGCGGUCGACUGCCGGGCUGAUCUGACCGAAGUCUAAACACAACAACCGGUUCCAACGGCGCUCAAAGGGGCUGUAGUGGAGGUGGAAUUUCAUCCUCCAAGAAUGUGAGGCCGUAUUGGAACUGAGAGGAUAAACGAAUUCAAGAGAUGAAGCGGCUUCUAGCAAAAAAUUCCUUCAGCGAUAGCAGUGACUCACUAAUAACCAACGUUAUGCUUCUGAAUUUCUAAUAAAUAACUUCCUUUUUGACGGUGGAAUAAGGUCCUAUAUACGCUACAUAAAAAAUUUAAAAUACCACUGAAAGUGAGGAAGUUUGUAUGCUUAGUCCUAACUCCUAAGAAGAAGGAUGCUCAGAUUGUAAAUAAGCUCCUCAGAAGAGAAUGGGGAUGAGAUGAAGGAUGCGUUUGUGCGACAACGACGACGGGAAGGCACGAGAAGAGGUUGCGGCUUUGUGAGGAGCAAUUGAGAAGUCAAAUUAAGUUGAAUACAUGAACAGGAUUAACGUCAUCAUUAGGUGGGAUAAUAAGAACGCCUACACUAGUUACAGUGGAAAAUGAGUAGAACCAUGCUUCCUUGGGCUGAAAAUUGUUUGUCGCUAGUUAAUUCCUUUCCUUUUUAAAAUUUUUGCCUAUUUUUAUCCUUUUUAACCUCUUUCUCCUCUCUUAUUUUCUUGUUUGUUUUCACCUGGUUUUUACCAGUCCUUUGCUGCCUCAGUUUUUUAGUCGAGUUCAUUACGUACCCUAAUAAAUGAAGCUUGUUAUUUCU